rnacentral:rRNA from 1 species
GACGAACGCUGGCGGCGUGCUUAACACAUGCAAGUCGAACGGAAAGGCCCUGCUUGCCGGGUACUCGAGUGGCGAACGGGUGAGUAACACGUGGGUUAUCUGCCCUGCACUUCGGGAUAAGCCUGGGAAACUGGGUCUAAUACCGGAUAGGAGCCAUUUUUAGUGUGAUGGUUGGAAAGUUUUUUCGGUGUAGGAUGAGCUCGCGGCCUAUCAGCUUGUUGGUGGGGUAAUGGCCUACCAAGGCGGCGACGGGUAGCCGGCCUGAGAGGGUGGACAGCCACAUUGGGACUGAGAUACGGCCCAGACUCCUACGGGGGGCAGCAGUGGGGAAUAUUGCACAAUGGGCGCAAGCCUGAUGCAGCGACGCCGCGUGGGGGAUGACGGCCUUCGGGUUGUAAACUCCUUUCGCUAGGGACGAAGCUUUUUGUGACGGUACCUAGAUAAGAAGCACCGGCUAACUACGUG